UACGUAGGGUGCAAGCGUUAAUCGGAAUUACUGGGCGUAAAGCGUGCGCAGGCGGUUUUGUAAGUCUGUCGUGAAAUCCCCGGGCUCAACCUGGGAAUUGCGAUGGAGACUGCAAGGCUAGAAUCUGGCAGAGGGGGGUAGAAUUCCAUGUGUAGCAGUGAAAUGCGUAGAGAUGUGGAGGAACACCGAUGGCGAAGGCAGCCCCCUGGGUCAAGAUUGACGCUCAUGCACGAAAGGCGUGGGGAGCAAACAGG
rnacentral:rRNA from 1 species